rnacentral:misc_RNA from 1 species
AUCGAGUACAACGGGAGGUAACUCUAAACUAGGUCGUCGAUCGCUCGCCAACUGUCACGCAAGGUUGUCGCUAUUUCACCAGAGACCAUACACACGACAUUACCAACAUCUGCAACAAUGGCAAGAGUUAAGCUUGGAGGGACCGAUCUUGAAGUCUCCCCUAUUUGUUUGGGGACAUGGCAGUUCAAUAUGGGAAAGACGACGAUCAACUGGGACGGUCAGAGCUUGGAGACAUCAAAGGCAAUUGUGGACAAGUGUUUUGAGCAGGGAAUUAACUUCUUUGACACGGCAGAGGGCUAUGCGGGUUCAGAGGAGGCUCUUGGAGCGUGUCUGGAGGGGAGGCGCCGAGAUGCUGUGAUAGCUACCAAGUAUGGAUUCAGGGCCGGCCCCAACACUCCGCCAUACUCAGCCGAAGACAUCCAAAACACUAUGGACAAGGCCCUGAAGAAUCUGAGGACGGACUACAUUGAUAUUAUACAGAUUCAUUUCCCAGCUUUCAUCAAGGAUUAUGAUGAGACAGUCACCGAACUCAACCGGCAGAUCUCCCUAGGAAGGCUCAAGCAUUACGCUGUUUCUAACUUCGGUCCGAAAAACAUGAAACAAUUCAUUGAAGCUGGAGGAAAGCCCAUAUCAAACCAGAUGGGGUACAACUUACUGUGGAGGUCGGCGGAGUAUGGAGUGCUGCCAGUGUGCAAGGAGAACAACGUGAGCGUUCUGGCGUACUCGCCGCUGCAACAGGGACUGCUGACGGGCAAGUACUCCACCGUCGACGACGUCCCUGAGGGAAGAAGGAGAGGAAAACUCUUCUCUCGUGACAGCACUCAGCUGAGUCGUCAUGGUCAAGAUGGGGCAGAAAAAGAGGUGUUUGAGGCAAUCCAGCGAAUCCGGGGGAUAUGUGACAAGGCUGGUGUACCGAUGGCAAAGGCAGCCCUGUCAUGGCUGUUGCAGCAGGAUAACGUUCCUGUCGCCAUAGUCGGAGCCAGCACCCCGCAGCAGGUAGUCGAGAACAGCAACAUCGUCAAGCUGUCAGAUGAUGUUGUGAAGCAGCUGUCUGAUGCCACAGAAGAGCUCAAGGCCAAGGUCGGACAGACACUAGAUGCAUGGGUUCACCCUGACAGAUGUGAAUAGACAUGAAUAGAUGUGAACAGAUGAGAACAGGAACCUGUCGCCAGUGGAUAGGCUCCAUUUCUCUAAAAUACACUGUUUUUCUUAUGACACGUAUACUUACGUAAAACCACAUUUUCAGACUCAACCAGAGGUCACUACAUUGUAAAGCAUGAGCCACUUUUCAUAGAAGAUUUUAAAAUUAUGUUGAUAAUUAAAGUCUUGAAGUUAGAUGCAGAGUCGGGUUAUUGAAUUCCUGCCCCAACACAGUGUCCUAUUUGCUCAAAACAUCUCCAUUGUCUUGUUCUCGAAAUGUAUUUAACCAGUGGGGUGCAGGGGUGUGCACCCCCCCCCCCCUUUUUUCCUGAAAGUUUAUUACAUGACCACUGAAACUCUCGUGAAAAUGAAGUGUGCACCCCCUUCUCUAGAGUGUGCAUCCCCCUUUCUCAAAAAGCUGUAUCCGACCCUGGGCUUUCUCCUAAUGUUUAUACUUUCCCCAGCAAAAACUUCACAUUUAAUGAAGGGUUACUUGAUAUAUUGUGUUGUUGUGUUAUCAGGAAGCUAUCCUACUACGUAGUAUGACAAGUGAGGUCACUGUCUGGAUGUAUGGAGGUCCUGUUUCAGCUCUGGGGUGCUUUAUUGUUAGCGCUGACAGAUAUUUUACUUGGCUCUGAUGUCUGAGUCAAUGUUGUACUGAUUUGACAAAUAUAAUGUAUAAUGUUAUAGUAUAUGCCAAGGGUAUUUUUGAAGCUUGCCUUGCCAAGACUUCUCAGCAUUAUUGACUAGUCUCUGACCAACCACCCUCACCCUAAUUCCUACCUCCCCCAUCUUAACACUGUCUCUAACCACCCACCCUCACCCUAAUUCCUACCUCCCCCAUCUUAACACUGUCUCUAACCACCCACCCUCACCCUAAUUCCUACCUCCCC